rnacentral:lncRNA from 1 species
AGGCAUUUCCCGGGGAUUUGGAGCAGGCACGCGCGGCCCGGGCGUCCGGAGCUGUAGCAGCAGCAGCAGCCGCCGUGCCGGGGCCGCCACCGCGGCGGGCACCCGCGUCCCGGGCGCCCACGGACCAUGGAGAGGGCAGUCCAGGGCACAGACGGCGGCGGGGGUAGCAACAGCAGCAGCCGCAGCAGCAGCCGUGCUACCUCGGCGGGCUCCUCGCCCUCCUGCUCUCUGGCGGGCCGGGGGGUCUCCAGCCGGUCGGCGGCGGCCGGGCUCGGCGGCGGGGGAAGCCGCAGCAGCCCGGGCUCUGUGGCCGCUAGCCCGUCCGGGGGAGGCGGCCGCAGGAGGGAGCCGGCGCUCGAGGGCGUGCUCAGCAAAUACACCAACCUCCUCCAGGGCUGGCAGAACAGCUGCUGAUGCAAAAGAGAAACAAUUCUGGGUGACUCAGCUUCGAGCUUGUGCCAAAUACCACAUGGAAAUGAAUUCUA